UUCAAUGGAAUAAAAUAUAACACACCCAGAUCCAUUAUGCUGUUACACAAGUGUUUUCACAUCACUUUUUUUACUGAGCUGUUUGCUUUUACAUAAGAUCUCUAUUACCGUGUUUACGAGGAUACUUGCACAGACGGGCAUUUCGUUGCUGAUUGUGUGUCAACAGCUUAAGUUAUAACGUGUGACUGUGAUAGAGACGAGAAUCAAAAAAACACACUGAUGGCAAUAAUGAGGUCUCUGCAAACCAUCUUCUUGUUGGUUGUUCUUUGUCUUACCAACUUUGUUGCAAGUGCAGAUGUGAUCAAAUAUAAAGGUGACAAUUUCACCAUGAAGUUUCCUGCACCUCAGAAAGAAGCACUGGGUGUAUUUCUGUACAGCAGAAGUGAGAUCAGCCGAGAAGUCUUCUACUACUAUUUUAAAACCAAGAAAUUAACUGUCCAUAAAGACUUUGAAGGACGUGUUGGAGUCAAAUAUGAUGAAAAGACCCUGACAAUAGACAUCAUUAACCUACGACUGACAGACGCUGGGGCUUACUGGUGCACCUGCAAUCGUUUGCUGGGGGAAUGUACAAUGGACGACAAAGGUCCUUUUCUUUUGGUGUAUGUGCCAGUGGUCAAUCUGGCCUCUUCCAAAAGUGUUGAUCCAAAGUCUGGUGGCAUAAAUGAAUUAAUGAUCCUAGUGAUGGCUAUCACAGCUGGCAGUGUGCUCUUACUGUAACUCCUUGUGUUUGGAGUGUGGCUGGUGCCCAAGUUCUUCUCCUUCAGUGGCAAUCGCCAAUGAGGCUGGAUUGAGAUGGAGAGAAGAUAUCACCUUCAUGCUCAAUGAGGAGGAUUCCAAUGUCAUCAGUAAUCGUCAUCAGAGUCCUAACAACAUAAGAGCACAAUCAUUAUAUUUCUCCGUACAUAACCAUCAAUAAUGUUAAGCAAUUUGAGUUCUGUCUUCACAAUGAUUAUUUACAUUUGGUGACAGACUUUUAACAUAGGAACAGA